CAACAAUUCACAUUUUUCUGUCAAUUGCAUUUUUGAUGUGAUUGGAAUUGGCUUCACACAAAUCCCAAACUUUCUUCCAUUGACACUUUUUUUUGGGUGCGCCAGGACCAUUCACAGUUGAGCUCAUUCAGGUUAGUUCAAUGCUGAUUGGUUAUUCUUUUCAACAACAACAAAAAAUAAAGGGAGGCCAAAUGGUCGCUUGCUAUCCUUGCAAUUGAAUUCAAUACUACGGGCAGCAACAAUGUCAUACUCUCAGACAGCAUCAGAUAGAUGGGCUACACGUACGAAGAUAGAGGGACACUGUUUUGCUUACUCUGAUGAGUUCUCAGGUGUGCUGGAAGCAGAGCGGAUUCCCACCAGCUGCAACCUGUUCCAUAAUCAAGAACCCUACAAAUACUCAGCCCUGCCGUUGCCAGAUCGUAUCCUCUACUCAUCCCGUCUGUUCUGACACUGGUACCCGUCUCCAGUCCCUCAUCUCCUCAGUCCUGCUUCCCUGCCCUGGAUCCCUGCUCUACUGCUUCAUUGGAUUCCGCUCCAGACCUGCUUACCCAGUUCCUAAUCUCCUUGCCCCCAGCCUCAGUCUGGAUUCCCUACUACCCAGCUGAGGUUCCCCUGGACUGCACCCCAUCUCCUUUCCCA
ensembl:lncRNA